UCAGGAGGCUGACACAGGAGGCUCAUGAGUUCAAGGCCAACCUGGGCUGUGUAUCAAGUACCAAGUCAGCCAUAGCAAGACUCUGUCUUAAGACAAACCACCAUCCUAAAACAUCUCACCCCAUCUCUCCUGUUACUUCCCAAGACGCCAUAGUAAACAGCCUGGCCUGGUUUCCCUUCGUACGCCAGGCCUCCUGGUCAGCCGUGGUGUUUCACCACACGCCCCCUGUGGCUGGCAUAUCCCCUUCAUCCAUCCAAGUAUCUUCGAGGGCCAGCGCCACUCAGCUUCUGAGAUCAGUCACAUUCAGAGUGGCGUGGUCACAGAUGAGUGCCCCCAUAUCCUGUGAUUUGUGCUCAUUUUAAUAUUCUAAUUCUUGGCAGUUUAUCUCUCCAGAUAGACAGAUGGACAGUUUCCCAGGCUACCUGACAGCAGCGUGCCUUCUGGAGAUAAGGAAUUCCAAGUCUCCAAAGCCCAAGACUACAGCCCACAGAAUAGUCCAGCAUUCUUGUCAUGUAUUUGCUCUGAUGUACAAAGGCUGGCCCAGCAUUCCACAAGGCUGGAUGCCUUAGGUGGGACUCCAUGUGACAGCACCAGUGAACACCAUGAUCAAGAGCCCUCCCUACCUCCUUCACUGUGAAGAGGUCCAGUGCUGGGUUGUGUGGGAGUCCAUAUCCAGGGAUUAAUUAUUCUACGAACCCCAGGCCCAGGAUGGUUUCAAUGGAGCUACAUCACAAUUCAACCUGACAUCGCAGUAUGAAUCAGGGCAGCAACUGAAGCAGAUCUGCAGCACCCAGCAAGGUGGAGGAGCUAGUUCUUACAAAGGAAAACUGUGCCACCUCCACAAGCCCACAGGAACCAAGGGCCGCUGCACCAGCGCCAGGAUCCUUAUGCACAUCCACCAGAUGUUCCCAUUCUGUGUUCCUCCUUCUCCUCCUUUUUUUUUUUUUUUUUUUUUUGUGGUAGAGUGGGACACAGUAGUUUCUCUGUAUAACAGUCUUGGCUGCCCUGGAACUCAAUUUAUAAGCCAGGCCA